rnacentral:lncRNA from 1 species
UAUGGAGGUUCUCAGGCUAGGGGUCGAAUCAGAGCUGUAGCCGCCAGCCCACACCACAGCCACAGCAAUGCCAGAUCUGAGUCCAUCUGCAAUCUGCAUCAAAACUCAUGGUAACACAGGAUCCUUAACCCCCAGAGAAAGGCCAGGGAUCGAACCUGUGUCCUCAUGGAUGCUUGUCAGAUUCAUUUCUGCUGAGCCACCUCGGGAACUCCAAGAAAUGCUUUAUUAGAGUUGAUUCACAAUGUUGUGCCAAUUUUGAAGGAAUGCUUUUGAGCCCAAAGGCAGUAAGUGGACUAGACCCUCCCAAGUUGUCUCUGCUCUGACCCUGGAGCACCUGGUGCAGAUGCUCAAUCAUUCCUCUCCUCUGUGAGAACAGAGAAUUUUCAGGUCUCACCAUGCAGGGGAUCAUUUUCUUUUAUGCUAGACUCUGGGAGCUAUCACGGAGCUCAAAAGAGUAAAUGCCAUUCAUGAAAGAAUGACUGUCCUAUGAAGUCCUUUAAAAGUUCCUUUUCAAUAUAGCAUUUCGGGGGGAGGCAAUUUUAUAUUUGCAAUCAUCUAUAGAAAACCAGCAACUUCUAAAUCUUUCCCGAAGGUGAAAAGUAUGGGGAGGAGAGUGAGGGAUACUGAGGAUGAAGAAAAUAAAUGAGAAUAGCAGAAAUGUCAGCCCUGAGAAGCCUCUCUGAGUCAUCAGAGGACUCUGCUGGACAUUUCUGGCUGAGGGUGCCCUCCUGCUAGGUAUCCCAGGGUCUGACAUGCAGUCAGUUCCCAGACCGGGUUUCUCUGUGUGGCCACUAACCAUCUAUCAUUGUAAAUACGCUCAGUCAGUUUCCUUUCCAGUACAGAUCUUUGCUGCCUUACCCUAAGAUGUAUUACAAUAAUUCAGGUUAAUUAACCUCUGAGGUAUUCAUGUUACUGCAAGAGGAGCCUCAUCCAACUCUCCCACAGGGAUGAUUCCAAAAUUCCUCAAAAUGAGGAUGUACCUCAGUCCUUAAUAACUGUUCAUGUUCAGAGUUCUGUCCCAUCUUGGAAAACAAACUUAGCCCUGCCAAGAGGUAUUCUCUCUUUUCAGUAAGAAGCCUGUUAUAUGGGCACCAACUUGUUAUUUUGGUAGUUGAAAGGCAAUUUGAUCCUAAGUCUAGAAUUGAUUCUUAGUUAACAGUUGAUUAAGAAUGUGUUGGUGACAAUAAGCUGCUACUCUGACCUCCACCCAAAGGUUUAUAUUCUACUAAGGCUCUGCCUCUUCAGACCCAGUGUGGCAAUAUUGAUUGAUUGCUAAAAGAACCAUUCAAAAGCACUAUUUUAGAGAAGUGUUCUUCUCAUUUCCACAGCAUCUACAUAAUCACCUUGAAGAUUAGAAACCAAUCUUGCUCUUGGGGCUUUUCACUACUUGACAAGAAAGCUGGCAUCCUUGUUGACUUCCCAAAUAAAAAAAUGCUCCAAUACAGGGGUGCUUCUUUCCUGGGCAGUUCUUAAGCUCUUAAACAUGGCUUAAUGAACUAGUGGGACACUUCCGAAAGUGUUACAAUCUGGUGUUGAUUUAUUCUCUUCAUCUCAUACUCUCCCAAAUUAUUAUUUCACUGGAAAGGAAAACCAGCCUAUCACAAAGUGACGCAUAUUCCUAAGAAACUUUGGCAGGUAGACCUUAACGAUCAGGAGACUGCAGUGGCCCCCCCAUCAGUCUCCACCAAAGGUAACAAUAGGUACCAAGGUUUCCUUGCAGGUGAUUGUUCUUUCUUUCUUUCUUUCUUUUUUCUUUUUUUGCUUUUUAGGGCCCAUACGAAGGUUCCCAGGUUAGGAGGUCCAAUUGGAGCUACAGCUGCCAGACUACACCACAACCACAUCAACACCAGAUCCAAACAGCAUCUGCGACCUACACCACAGCUCAUGGCAAUGCCAGACCCUUAACCCACUGAGUGAGGCCAGGGAUAGAACCCAUAACCUCAUGGUUCCUAGUUGGAUUCGUUUCUGUUAUGCCAUGAUGGGAAUUCCUGUCCUUUCCUGUGUUCAUUAAAAAAAAAAAAAGAAAAAAAAAUCUGAUACACAGUUUCCCCAAGUGACCCAGGCCUGAGUGUCUGUGGGGUUUUCUGCCAUGUAUUCUGCAAUAGUGAAAGGUAAAGGUCUAUCCUAAGGUACUGUGUAACAGCUAUUGGGUUGGGUGACUCAGGGCACCAAAGUGAGGACGAAAGCUGACACUGGCUCCAAUGAGAACAGAGGCACAGAGGAUGGUGAAGCAGUGGGUGAAUUUCAAAGCAGGCAGGUUAAGAUAACUCCGAUUACUGUUACUGUUGACAAAAUGAAUGGUGCCUUCAAAUGCUGGACAGGAAGAUGUCCAGAAACUAAGGAUGGUUCCCUUUUUAAGGCUCCCAUUGGAGAUGCUCACAAACUCCCCUGUAGGUGCAGGGGUCCUGCGGACAAGUGUGAAGGGAAACAUCUCAGGCGGUGAAGCAAUAGCACCACUUGCAGACUCUGAUGGUGCCGAGGGGCAGGAAAGAAGCCACUCUUGGUUGGCAAACUCUAAAGGGCUCGGGAGUGAAAGACUUCAGAAGAAAAAUUCUUCUUAAGAUGAGGGGUAAUGAGGAUGCCAUGGGAAAGAUUUUGAACUCAAGGUCAAAGGAUCUUGUUUGCAAUUCCCACUCUGCCUCUAACUAACUAGCUGUGUGCAUUUUGGCAGGCCUCAUCCACAUUCUGAGCCCGAGUCACAGCUAGAGGGUGUUAACCAGUGUCAAGCUUUCCUUCAGGAAUGGCGAUGCUAUGACGUCCCUAGAGCUGACUGGAAGCUCUCUGUGAGGAGGUGUGGCAUUGUGGAACUGCUAAAGAGGUUCUGAUUGCUGGUAAAGUUUGCAAAGAUAUUAUCUCCCAUCAUCAGAACUCAAACAUCCCUGCACGCAUCAAAUCAGUGACCCACUGGCUCUCAUUCAGUAGGUUAGUGUAUCCCUUUUCCUACCACAGGGCCUUUGCUCAUGCUAGUCUCACCACCUGAAAUGCCAUUUUCCCUAGUCUGAGCCUUCAGAUUUCAGCUUAGAUGUCACUUCCUCAGAUGAGACGUGAUGCCCCACCAAACGUUCCCAGAGCACUCAGCACUUUACUUCAUAGCACUCAUCAAAGUUAGAUUUCCAUUCUUAUUUGUGUAAUUAUAUCAUUUUCUCUUUUUCACUGCACUUAAGCUCCAUGAGGACAGCAGCCAUUUUCCGUCUCAUUUAAUAUAAUUUACUUUAACAGCCAGCACCUGUGACAAGCAUAUAUUGACCGUGUAAUAAAUACUUGUUGUAGACUGAGCCGAUGGGAGUAAUAAUCACUUUUCUUGAGUACCUGCUAUUUCAGGCCAAGUGAAAUCUUGGAUUUACCCACUCUCUUCCAAAAGAAAUAGCCACUGUGGUAAGAUAUUUGGAUUAAUAACACCAUUUGAUGUUUUAGUGUGCAUAGCAUUUCCACCCUGUCGGUGUGCUGCAACAAAAGCUUCUUAUAAUGGUUUCCAGAAGGCCCAAAUUUUUCAGUCAUAGGGGAUUCAGUCUGAUAGACUGUAAGCUAGUUAGAAAUUUGUGAAUUUUUUUGUUGUUGUUGUUGUUAACAGCACUGAACUCAUCCUCUGUCCAUUUGAAAGUGCUUCUCCUCCCUCUGAGAGCCGGCAGCAGAUUACUCAUUUGGUUUGAAGUAAUCUAAUGAGCUAUGACAUGGAAGCUGAGUUUAAAAAAAAUAAAAAAGUAUGGCUAACUGAAAUGUUAACUUUCAGUGGCUUAACACACUGCCUAUAUACAGAAUUGGCAACCGAAGGUUUUUUCCCCUCACUGUAAAAAGCUGUGAGGACGACAAACAUACUGUUUUGAUUAAUAAAGUAACAAAGCUCAUGAAUAUGGGAGGGCUAGGGUAACCAACUGGGCUGAGGGUUUUCUGAGAAGAGGAUCUUUUGGUGCUAAAACUAAAAGAGUGCCUAGCAAAUCUGGACAGAGCACCAACUGGGAAUCCCCAGCUUUGCCUAUAUCUGGGGUGAGGGUGGGGGUGGGGGUCCCACUCUGGGCGAGUUGAUGGAGUUGUCUUUCCUCAUCUGUUAAAUGAAGCAAUUAAAAGAUGACUGAUGCCCCUGUCAGCACUGAAAUGAAUGGUGUUCAAGAUUCUGGGAAAGGGGAGUACUGUUGUGGCUCAGCAGAUUAUGAACCUGACUAGUAUCCGUGAGGUUGCCAGUUCAAUCCCUGGCCUCGUUCAGUGGGUUAAGGAUCUGGCGUUGCUGUGGCUGUGGAGCAGGCUGGUAGCUGCAGCUUCCCUAGCCUGGGAACUUCCAUAUGCCACACAUGUGGCAUCCCCCCACCCCAAAAAAAGAUUCUGGGAAAGGAAUAGAUAAUGGUGCAGCAGUAGUGAAGGUACAGAAACUCCUGGGAAAGAACAAUUUAAAAGUUAGCACUUGUGAGCCUUGGUGGCCUUAGGAUGUCACACUGGAGCACAAAAGAGUUGGGGGUGAGUUAAGCGACUCUGUCCAGAGAGCUGACGGAGUGUGGAUGAUUCCACACACAUUGGUCCAUUAAAUUGACUUACUCCUCAUAACAAGUCAGUGGGUCUGGGGGUUGUAAUUUACACGAAAUAGAUAUUUGGUUUUCUUCAAUGUUCCAGGCACUGAGGUCCUAAAACCCUUGAGAUUUCCUAAGUGAUUUCCUAAAAGUGAUAAAGCUACCUUUUGUUAUGUUAAUAAAAUGACUUUGGAAAGUCUCUCAGUAACCUAAGGGUGGGAGCUAGUUGCCAGGGGAACCAAACCCUGUCCUCCACAGAACAGAGAAAGGCUGUCUAAUGGCCAAAGAUGGCAUGUAAUGUGCUGUGUAAUGAAGCCUUCCUAAAAACCUAAAAAGACACAGUGGUCCCUGAUGGCUCAGUGGGUUAAGAAUCCAGCCUCGUCACCACUGUGGCUCAGGUCACUGAGGUGGUGUGGGUUCUAUCCCUGGCCAGGGAACUUCCACAUGCCACAGGCAUGGCCCAAACAACAACAACAAAACAAAACAAAUCAAAACCCUCAAAACCUAAAAGGACAGGAUUCAGAGAGCUUCUGAGUUGGGGAACACGUGUAGAGGGGAACGCUCGAAAUGGCAGAAACCCUGUGUCCCUUCUCACAAUAUCUUGACCCUGUGCAUCUCUUUUUCUGGCUGUUCUUGAGUUAUACACUUUUAUAAUAAACUAGCAAAUGCAAGUAAAUGUUUCUCUGAGUUCUGUGAGCUUUUCUAGCAAAUUAAUCAAACCCCAGGAUGGGGGUCUUGAAAACUUAUGAUUAAUAGCCAGUAGGUAAGAAGCAUGGGUAACAACCUCCACUUGCCUUUGGCAUCUGAUGGGGAGUCCUGUUAGAACCGAACCCUUAACCCCUGGGAUCUGAUGCCACCUCCAGGUAGAGAGUGUGAGAACCGAGUUGGGUUGUAGGACCCUCACUGGGGUGGGAGAACUGCUUGGUGAUGUGAAAAAGCACAUGUUGUAAUUGUUGGAAGUGGAAUGAUUCUCAGGACUCCCGUUUUAUAGGUGAGGACAUGAAGGAAAAAGAGGUUAAGUAAAAUCUUGCUUGGGAGGUCACCCAAUGGGUGAGCUAUGAACUUGUAGAUCAUAUCAGCCCCACCCUGGCCAGUCUUGCCUUUACUUGGGGACUCCUUCAGAAAGGGCUGGGAGAGCAGAAGCCCAGUCUGCUGCAGGUUCCCUUGGUGUCAACUCACCACAACCCUGUCCUCACAGAGCAUCCAGAAACAGCCCAGUGGCACAUGAUCCUGCAUUAGGUUUUGAAUAAGAAGCCCCCCAGCCCCGGGCCCUGCCUGCUAAGAGUGUGUGUCUCAGCCUGUGCCUGUGAAAAGAUGCAAAAGAACAUUGAAGAUGAUCAACCUUUUCAUACAGAGCUUGAACUUCUUCAAUCCAGAGUGUGCCCUCCCUACAACCAGGCCCCUGCAGAAUGAGGGGGCCAGGAGCACACGCAAUUCCACAGGUUGGGGAGCCAGCACUCAGAAACCUGUGGGGGUGGGGGGGCGAGGGGGAAGCUCACCCCAGAAAAAUGCAGAGCGGGAGAGGGAAGCCCAGAGGAGGAAGGCACAAAGGUUAGUCCUGCUGGCAGGCAGAAGAUAAGGUUGUGGGUGGAGGAGGAGAAAGGUAAUGUCAGCCAAAGGCAAUAAACAGGCCUUCCAUGAGUGCCUCAGAGCAACACUGGGGAGUCGAAAGAAAUAAACCCAUUAAUAAACGAGAAGGGAAGGAAAUGACUGCUUCAAGAAUGUCUGGGGCACUCAACUAUUUUAAAAAUAUCUUGAGCGAGAAAACUAGAGAGGCCCUGCGAGAAGAGCAGGGGAUCAGCGUCAACUUGACAGCCCCAAGAGCUAGUGCUUAGAGAGCGCAGCUGGGCAGCCGAGCAGCCAGCGGUCUGCUUGUCAGACAGGUGAGGUACAGAAAACUGUCAUCUGAAGGAAAAGUCCUCCAAGCUGGUAUUUUCUCAGAGAGAGAACAUCGCAGCUGCCUUGCAUUGAUGUACCCAGCUUUGAGUCUUCUCGCUGGCUCUGAGACUUCAGGCCCUUU